rnacentral:tRNA from 1 species
GGGGAUGGUUGAGUCCCGGUGGGCUCCGCGGUCUUCAAAACCGUUGGUGGGUCGCCCGAGCGAGCCACGGUGGGUUCGACACCCAUCCAUCCCCG